rnacentral:piRNA from 1 species
UCCAGUUAUCAGUGAGUGCAUACAGUGUG